UACAGAGGAUGCAAGCGUUAUCCGGAAUGAUUGGGCGUAAAGCGUCUGUAGGUGGCUUUUUAAGUCCGCCGUCAAAUCCCAGGGCUCAACUCUGGACAGGCGGUGGAAACUACCAAGCUGGAGUACGGUAGGGGCAGAGGGAAUUCCCGGUGUAGCGGUGGAAUGCGUAGAGAUCGGGAAGAACAUCGGUGGCGAAGGCGGUCUGCUGGGCCGUUGCUGACGCUGAGGCGCGACAGCGUGGGGAGCAAACAGG
rnacentral:rRNA from 1 species